AGAUGGCGGACAGAAGCAAGAUGGUGGCUGGAUAGACAGCAUGGUGCCCAGACUUGGUGACGGUCAGAAACCAACCCAAACAAUGUAAAUCCUAUCCGCCCUCAUAAAAGGACAACACCAGGAUUUAAGGAUUACCACGGGGAACGUGACCUCCCCUUUGUCAUGUAUGUUUGUCAAGUGUUCGUCUAUGUUAUAUCUCAAACAUUAACAGAACGGGACAGGCUCCCGUUCACCCCAAUGCUUGGGCUAUCCCUCAACAAGAGAGAGAAGGACCAGAGCUCGCCAGGAACCCAGGCCUACUGUUUGACGAAGGAAUACGUACUUUCUUUCCAACUCCAAUGUUGCAUGGAAAGCAGAAGCAGGAGAAGACGAGUAGAGAAACUGAGUAAACGAUGCAUUGACGGUCUUCACUGGACUUAUUUGGCUUAUUUUCUGCAACUGUUCAAAAAUAAAUGACACACUGCAACAAAUGUGUUAUUUAUGUUCAAUUAUAAUGUGAAUAACUGUAAGAAAAGUAUAUUCUAUUAAUAAAAUGUGACAGAAUGAGGAGUGUGUGUCUGUCUAUCAUGAUAACAAUACUUAUUCAAACGUAUAUGCUUUAGACCUAGUCUAGAGACUUCAACAUCAAGGAGUGUAUGUACUGAGCU
ensembl:lncRNA